rnacentral:lncRNA from 1 species
GCAAGGUCUACUUAGUUCUGCUUUGUAUAAAACCUAAUUAUUCCACAAUAUGCUAUGGAUAAUUAAAAAUAUAUCUCAGCACCUGCAUUGUGAGAAAUUGCAAGAUGUGCACUGUAUGGUGCCAUAUUAGUCAGAUGCACACUCUGAGAUCAGGGAUGGGGAACCUGUGACCAUAAGCUACAAGCAACACAUCCAGUGGUCAUGGGUUAUGGGAGUCCAACAAUGUCUGGAAGACCACAAGCUCCCCAUCUCUGAUUUAGAUGUUUGUGCAAUAGAGACAAGGUGUAUUUGUCUUGAAUCUCAGUUUGAGGGAAAAGGUGGGAUAUAAUGUAAAUUAAUAAAUCAGCUUCUUAGUAUGGGGAUGGUCAUCUGCAUGUUGUAUGUUCCGGUCAACUGUAUAACCUUGUAGUUAUUCAUAACUAAAUUUAUAUUUUUUUCUGACAUGUUUUAUUUUUUAUGAAGUUGGUACCUGCUCCUGAAUUCCUGUGGACAGUAUAUUCUUUAUACUAAUAUUCUUUAUUUAUAGUCUACUGUUCCACUUGAAGACCUUUAAAAUGGCUUGCAGUAUUAAAAAACUCAGUGCCGCUCAUUUAACUAGUCAUGUUGACAGCUCCAUUAUCUAGUAUCCAGAUGAGAGCAUUUGCCUUCCACUUACCUAGGAGACCUUAGCACGCAAGGCAACCAGGGAAACUGGAGCUCUCUGUGUGGUACAGUUGGCCUUGAGCUUCAGUCGUUUUCAGUGAGAUGGUGUUUCAGAAGGAACAGGAAGUGCAAGUGUAUUGUGCUUCCUGUUCCUCUGCACCUCCAUCUUGAUUUAUAUAGAAUUGUCAUAGGAGAUGACCAUAUUCCAGGUAUGGGGAACAUAUGAUAAUUCUGUUUCAGACAAAAUAAAGAUCCAGAGGAACAGGAAGCUCAACACACUUGCUGCUUCUUGGAUUUUCUACAACGUUGCGAAGUCCAGUGCUGUGCUUAUUUGAUAUGAAAACAGUGUGCUCUGAUGUAUGAUACAUGCUUCUUCAGGGGAUAACAGAAAUGCAUUAAUAUAGAAUUUGCCAUGUUAACCUAUUUAAAUCAUGUUGUAUUAACAUGAGUUUGGCCCUACCACCUGGUACUGUGUCACGUCAAAUCAAAUAUUCUGACAGAAGGACAUAAUUUUACUCAGAGCCAGAUGUUUUCGGAACAGAUUGAAAGGCAAACACCAUUCUGUAACAUAAAAUGUACCAUUCUGCUAGUUUGUGUCUUGGUUUUUAACUGUGAUGCUUUAAGUAAGUUUACUUAAAGUAAAUUUGAAAUGAAACAAAAUGACUUUGCUCGUCCUUAAUGAAACAUCAGGUCACUCCCACAGGCUGGUGGAGCUGCAGUUAGAUGGUUAAUAGCUUACUUUUGAAAUGGUGCCCUGGAAUUAAAACAGGUUCCCAUUUUAUCUUCAAUCCUUUGUGUCAUUUAAUCCCAAUGUUUCUGACCUUUCUGCUGAUUUUAUACCAGAGUAGUUCUGACUUAUCAGGAUAAUGCCCUCACCCCUGAUUUAUGCUGAUGUAAUUGAAGGCAGAAUUGACUUGUGCAUUUUUAAAAGGAAGAGAGUGCUUCUAUGCAAUUUUAAAAUAGCAUUGGCUGGCUGAAUAACAACCUAUUCUAGCAGGGAAGUUACAGCUAUUCUAGCAGGGAAGUUACAGCUCUCUGUGAAAUGGGAAGUCGCAUAUGCCAGAGGGCAGUGACAGGGAAUGCGAUAAAGACUGUAAAUGAAUAAACAAAUAUCAAUAAUUUUGCAUAAUGGGUUCAGUUUUGUUGAAUUAAAUGGGAGCUUAUGAGCAAACAGUGAUGAGGCAUAAAGGUCUCAUGUGAUAGUGUAAGAAGACUACUGGUCAGUCUCUACCAAGUAUUGUGAUGAUGACAAUGCUGCAGGAGAAAUGGUUGUAUUGUGCUGGUUCUUAUGUAAGGAGCUUGUUCUGCUUUGGUGAGGGCAGCCAUGGACCCCUAUGCAGCAGCAACUUAAGAAGCAUUAGAACAAUCCAGGUUUGUCUGUACCAGUUUAGCGCUGCACCUUUGGGAUGAAUACUGACUGUCCAGCUUUUAGGGUGUUCAGUGAGCCAGAUUUGCAUGAGGCAACCUCAAGAUACUGUAUUUGAAUGGAGCCAGUACAGUUUGGUGGGUCCUGCAUCCCUGAGAAUUUAGGAACUUGGAGGAUGAACAAUGUUGUCACAUAAAAAUCAUGGUUAUAGCUGGUGCUUGGUGACCUACUUGCAAAUGAUAAUUUAUUUUUCUUUCUAGGUAACUCAUAGUAAAGCUAAUUAUAGCUACUUAUGCUUCCUUCCCAUUGACUAACCUCAUCAGUGGCUGGAUUGAAAACCCCAUAUAAACUAUGAUCAGUAUUUGAAAGGAAGAUUCACAAUCAGUCACAACAUACCAUCCUGGGCUACUGUUAUGUCCAUACGGUUUUUUCAUGAGAUUAUUUGUUCCUUUUUUCUCUGACGUUGGAUUGGACAGCUUGGUAACACUGUAUGUUUCUCUCUCACCCACACACCAAGCAGGAAAUCCUUAUUGGGAAAUGAAAUUGCUUCACUGAUGGCCAUAUGGCCCUAUAUCUGUGGACACCUGUUCGCAGCAUGGGGCAAGAAAAAGGAAUAUUUCUUGCAGAGCAAUUUUGGAGAACUCUAAACAUUAUCUGCAUUUGCAGCCUUUAAACUGGGGAGCAUUGCACUAUGGGGAUGAGCAUGAAGAUUCAGGUAAAGGCAAUUCACCAUUUGUGGUCUCUAACCUCACAUGACUGUCUAGUUAAUGUCCUGUCUGUUUUGAUGAUUCACUUGGUGGCUUGGAGUUAAAUGUUUUGACAGCUGAAAUAUUACAUGAUCAAUGAGGGCGGAGGAAGCAAUAUUUUUGACGCAACACAGCUGUUUUCAGAUUUGAAUGAGCUUGCCUCAGUUCAAGAGAAAUCCAAGCUGAUAGUUUGAGCCCAAAUCAUGUCAGGACAGUGAAAGUUGCACUUAAGGUUCUACCAACUAGAUUUGAAAUAGCUGUAUUUUCAUCUGGAAAGGGCAUGUAGAAUGGGGAAAACUUUACCUGUUGGCUUUCUGCUCAUUCUGUCCUGCCAGGAUUCAAAGAAUUGUAGAGUUGAAAAGGAACCAUGAGGGCCAUCUAGUUCAAUCCCCUGCAGUACAGGAAUAUUUCGCCCAACGUGGGGCUCAAACCUACAACCCUGACAAAGGUGGCCACCAGACCUGCUCCCCACAAAUCAGAUGUCUGCAAAGCAGUCUCAGCUGUGUCAUGUCUGUUCCCUGUCUGUAUAUUCAUUCACUUCCAAAAGACCCUGCUGUACAGUCUGAAAGCAAAGCUACAGAGGAUAAGGCUAUCAGUGGCUACCAGUCAUUGAUGGCAUAUGUAUUGCCUCUGAAUGACAGUUGCAGUGGAACACAAGCUGGACAGCAUAUUGGUAGAUAAUCUCUAUUGCUUGUAGAAGGUCUCAGCUUCAAUUCCUGGAAUCCCCAGGUUAAAGAACCCUGCCUGAAGCUCAGAGGAGGUGCUGCUGGUCAGUGUAGAUAGUACUGAGUUAGAUGGGCCAAUGGUUUGACUCAGUAGAAAACAGUAUCUUAUGUCACUAUAUGGCAUUGUGGUUGGCCAUUGUGGGAACAGAAUGCUGGACUAGAUGGGUCUUUGGUUUGAUGCAGCAGGGAGUCGAACGGGACCAUUAAAAUUCACUGCAAAGUGCAGAUUUCUAAAGUGGUCUGCCUUGUCUCCAAUCAGUGCCUAUAAUUUAUUUGAUUCUGCAUCUUGAUUGCCACUGAAGCACAAGCAAUUUUCCCACUACUUCAGAGACAUUAUAGAUUAUGCUUUUCAUCUGCCCUUGCAAAGAAAUUGCACAGAACAUGGAAAAAUACAAACAACAAAUCCCACCAUGGAUUCUUAGAAGUUUAGCGAGAAUGUUUUAAACGAGUACUUUUUCAAAUGAGGUUUAAAAGUUGAUUAAAAGUAAUCUCUGUCUCUCCCCCCCACCAUAAAACCUUUAAAGAGUAAACAAUAUAUGUACAAAAGGGUAACCCAUAGAUAUUUUCUAUCUUUAAGUAAUGAGUUCUGAUAUUACUUGUCAUUGCCUAGGAAUGAUAUCAUCCAAAAAUUUGUUUGAAAUCCAAAUCCUGAAAAUUCUUCCUAAAUUGCUUAAGAAGAUGAAAUAUAAUUUCAAGCUUCCUUACAGGCACAUAUGCAAGCACCCAGGACAGAUUGGAUGUUUGUCAGUUCCUUUAUACAGAGUAACAUGAGCGACUCUAGGGACGCAGCCGCAUGGAAGAAAUAGAUCAUGCUUGACCUGGUGCACUGCUUUCUGUGCCUGCACACAACGAUUCAACAAUGAUUCUAUUUUCAGUGGUCAAAGAAGCAAUACAGCACGAUAAGAUACGUUGGUACGGAUAUUUCCAAAUCUGAAAUACAGUAUUAAGAUUUAUAAGGGAGAUUGAAAAUGCAGUCAUAAAGAAAGGCAAAUACCAAUUAUCUAGGAUAUAUAACCUCUUGCUAAAGUAUGAUAGGGAACAGGAAUAAGUAAAAUAAUACAUGAUAAGGAGGGCUCAGGACAUAGGGAACAACACAAAACAUGGACGUGCAGGAGAAAUAAUAGGGAAAGGACCACAAAUCGUUGCUGAACACAAAUGUAAGAGAACAUUGUUUCAAAGCUAUGAUACAGUGGCAACUGACUCCUGUAAUUAUUGGUGUAUUAAGUUAAUUGUAUUCAAAAAAUAUGCAAAAAACAGAACAUAUUGCCACGUGGUCUACAUAGUAUCAUAGAAUUGCAGAGCAAGAAGGGACCCUAAGGGCCAUCUAAUUCAACCCCCUGCACUCUCAGCUGAAGCACCUAUGACAGAUGUCCAUCCACCCUCUACUAAAAACCUCCAAGGGAGGAGAACUCACAAGCUCCCGAGGGAGACUGUUGCACUGUCGAACAGCUCUUGCCAUCAGAAACGUCUUCCUGAUGUUUAGUCAGACUCUCCUUCCUUGUAACUCAAAUCCAUUGGUUUGGGUCCUAGCCUCCAGAGCAGGAGAAAACAACCUUGCUCCAUCUUCCAUGUGACAGCCCUUGAGAUAUUUGAUGAUGGUUAUUAUAUCUCUCAGUCUCCUCCUUACCAGGCUAAACAUACCUAACUCCCUCAACCAUUCCUCAUAAGGCUUGUUUUCCAGACCCUUGAUUAUCUUGGUUCCCCCCUCUGCACACAUUCCAGCAUGUCAAUAUCCUUCUUAAAUUUUGGUGCCCAGAACUGGACAAAGUACUCUGGGUGUGGCCUGACCAAAGCAGAAUAGAGCAGGACUGACUUUCCUUGAUCUGGGCACUACAGUUGAUGUAACCUAGUAGAGCGUUAGCAUUUUUUGCUGCUGCAUCACACUGUUGACUCAUGUUAAGCUUGUGGUCUACUAAGAACUCUAGAUCCUUAUUAUAUGUACUACUGGCAAGUCAGGCAUCCCCCACCUUAUAUUUGUACAGCUGGUUCUUCCUGCCUAAGUGUAGAAACUUACAUUUUUCCUGUUGAAAUUUAUUUUGUUAGUUUUGGCCCAGUUUCCCCAAAUACCGGAAAAUGAUUAUUAGAAUAAUAACAAAAAUAUUGAAAUAUUAAGUUCCCUUAGAAUCCAGUACUGAUGCUGCUGAACUAUAUGC